ACACACACACAUACACACGUAUCACAUUAGAAUAGGUACAAUGCUCUUAAUAUUAUCUGCUUAAUCAGACAUAUUAUAUCCAAAAUUGAAUACGUUCCUGCCAAUUAGAUAACUAUAAAACAUGUCAGGUAACGCUCAAGCCGCUGAAGCAGAUGAAGAAGAAUGUAUUGGAACAACAGUUGAACUGCCCAACGGAACUAGGCGACGUUAUCAAUUACCUAUCACAGACAAAGAUGGCGAUGAUGUCAACAUUGGAGAUAUCAAAAGUUAAUUCUGGCACCAAGUUUUAACCCAGAGAACUACACUUUGGUUUUUGAGAAAGAAGGUUCUGAUGGUGGACGAUUGAUAGCAGACGAUAGAGACUCCCUCAAAAGCACAAGUUACAUUGAUGCUCUAAUUAAGCAUAAAUGUGUGAUCAAGUUUGAAGCUAGAAUUCGAAGCUAGCUAGUAAGGCUAUAAUAAAUGUUAAAUUACAGUAAUAUAUUGGACAGCAUUUUUUAGCAUAUACCCAAAAAUAAAGUUAAAUAUUAGAAGAUGUACAACUUAUUGUAGUUGAAAAAGUCAUAAAUUCAUUGUACUUUAUCCGUUUUAGCAAACAUACAAUAUCAGUGUGGUUUGGAGUUUGGACGCUUUCAUUGUUUAUAAACAAAUAUUUGGUUUAUGUUUCAAUUAAAGUUUUAAGUGUUUUGUUUUUCUUUUAAUAAGAUUUCAUUUUACAGUAAUGCUAUUUAUCGAUCUUUUUUUUUUUUUGCUUCCUUUCUAUUAGCAUCAAAAUUCAUCAGCUGUUGUUAAAAAAAACAAUUUUCUUACGGAAUAAUUACUUAAUAAAUAUACAUUAAUUUUGUUUAAAUUAAUACACUUUAAGAAGAUUCUAUAAAAAAAAAGAAUUGUAUACUUUAGAACAUAGCGGUCAGGAUUGCUGACAGUUUUUGUUUUUUUUAACAAAAAUGUAUUGCAAAAAUAAAAAGGUUUUUUGUUUUGUUUUGUUUUGCCUAACUUUAGCGUUAUCUUUACACAACAGUGUUUGCCAAACUGUGUUCUGCGGAACCCUAGAGUUCUGCCAGGCCUGGAUAAGUGUUUCACAAACAACUGAAAUAAUGAUGUAGUAGGCCACCCGUGAAAUAACUUCUCUUUUAAAAAAUCAAAGUGUUCCUUUACAUACUCUGAAAAUGCGAAAUGUUCCGUUAAGGAAACCACUGCUCCACACAAUUUUUUUUAGAUGUGAGUGGUGUUAAAUAUGGGUGUGUCUGUUUGACCGGGUGUGAUUGGCUGAACGUUUGUGUGUGCUAACUGCUAAGUGUGUGUGUAUGACGUUGGACAUGCAUGUAGCCUAAGAAUCAGGUUAACAGACAUUAAUUAUUUUUGUUCAAUGCUAAAAAACAAGUCUCUGUUUAAUUGUUACUAUUACUGUGUAAUAAAAAUCAGUAUUUAAAAAAAAA
rnacentral:sRNA from 1 species